UACAGAGGGGGCAAGGCGUUGUUCGGAAUUACUGGGCGUAAAGGGCUCGUAGGCGGCCAACUAAGUCGGAUGUGAAAUCCCCAAGCUUAACUUGGGAACUGCAUCCGAUACUGGAUGGCUUGAAUCCGGGAGAGGGAUGCAGAAUUCCAGGUGUAGCGGUGAAAUGCGUAGAUAUCUGGAGGAAUACCGGUGGCGAAGGCGGCAUCCUGGACCGGCAUUGACGCUGAGGAGCGAAAGCUAGGGGAGCAAACGGG
rnacentral:rRNA from 1 species